rnacentral:rRNA from 1 species
AUUGACGCUGGCGGCAGGCUUAACACAUGCAAGUCGAGCGGAGACUUCGGUCUUAGCGGCGAACGGGUGAGGAAUGCCUGGGAUCUGCCUGGUAGUUGGGGGAUAACGUUCCGAAAGGAACGCUAAUACCGCAUACGUCCUACGGGAGAAAGCAGGGGACCUUCGGGCCUUGCGCUAUCAGAUGAGCCCAGGUCGGAUUAGCUAGUAGGUGAGGUAAAGGCUCACCUAGGCGACGAUCCGUAGCUGGUCUGAGAGGAUGAUCAGCCACACUGGAACUGAGACACGGUCCAGACUCCUACGGGAGGCAGCAGUGGGGAAUAUUGGACAAUGGGCGAAAGCCUGAUCCAGCCAUGCCGCGUGUGUGAAGAAGG